UACGGGGGGUGCGAGCGUUAAUCGGAAUUACUGGGCGUAAAGGGUGCGUAGGUUGUUUAACAAGUUAUCUGUGAAAAACCCGGGCUUAACCUGGGGAAGUCAGCUAAGACUGUUAGACUAGAGUAUAGGAGAGGGCAGUGGAAUUUCCGGUGUAGCGGUGAAAUGCGUAGAUAUCGGAAGGAACACCGGUGGCGAAGGCGGCUGUCUGGCCUGAUACUGACACUGAGGCACGAAAGCGUGGGUAGCAAACAGG
rnacentral:rRNA from 1 species